CCGAAAGCCACUGCUUCUUUUCCUUCUUUCCCUUUUGAAAAGCCCCUAAGGCCAUUGGAUAGCUGAGUCUUUUGGAAAAGCAGAACAGUCGGUGUAGACUACUAGAAGGCCAUUUGCAAUCCUGUCCUGACCUAUGUGAUUCCUAUCCUAAUGGCUAGUCUUGAAGACAAGAAUGGUGACUGCAGAGAGCUAUGCCAGACCAUGCCAGGAAAGAGGCAGAAACCUGCUCAGGAAACUGCGUUUUGGAAGGCAGAAUCCUGAACACAAACAGCGGUCCUCAGUGUCUACAUUAUCCAGAGGUGACAGUUGGAGACAAAG
rnacentral:lncRNA from 1 species